rnacentral:rRNA from 1 species
UACGAGAGGCCCAAACGUUAUUCGGAUUUACUGGGCUUAAAGAGUUCGUAGGCGGCGCAGAAAGUAGGGUGUGAAAGCCCUCGGCUCAACCGAGGAAUUGCGCCCUAAACUACUGUGCUUGAGGGACCUAGAGGUGAGCAGAACGGAUGGUGGAGCGGUGAAAUGCGUUGAUAUCAUCUGGAAUACCGGAGGCGAAGGCGGCUCACUGGGGGUCUUCUGACGCUGAGGAACGAAAGCCAGGGGAGCGAACGGG